CCUAGGUGGAGACUCAGCCUAAGCCACACUAUUUCUGUCCAAUGUCAUCUGUCCUGGGACCUAGGUAUUCAAACAUGGACCCUGAAAUUUGUGGAAUGCAUCCACCAUUUGAAAGAGGUCAAUGGUCACAGAAUCGAAGGAAACACCACUAUGACCUGGGGACUUCCUGCCCACACACUCGGCAUCAUCUCAAAGUUCAAACGGCUCACGAACUGACAUCCGGCUGACAGAUGGGGAAUGUGGCUCAGUGGUAGAGUGCUUGCCUACCUCGGGAGAGGCCCUGGCUUCUAUCUCCAACCCUACAAAGAAAAAAAAUUAAUCAAAUGAACUGAAAAUAAAACAGGCUUAAAAAAAAGUA